UGCAAGUCGAACGGAGUUGUGUUGAAAGCUUGCUGGAUAUACAACUUAGUGGCGGACGGGUGAGUAACACGUGAGUAACCUGCCUUUCAGAGUGGAAUAACGUUUGGAAACGAACGCUAAUACCGCAUAACAUGAGAGAACGGCAUCGUUCUUUCAUCAAAGAUUUUAUCGCUGAGAGAUGGGCUCGCGGCCGAUUAGGUAGUUGGUGAGAUAACAGCCCACCAAGCCGACGAUCGGUAGCCGGACUGAGAGGUUGAACGGCCACAUUGGGACUGAGACACGGCCCAGACUCCUACGGGAGGCAGCAGUGGGGGAUAUUGCACAAUGGAGGAAACUCUGAUGCAGCGACGCCGCGUGAGGGAAGACGGUCUUCGGAUUGUAAACCUCUGUCUUUAGGGACGAAAAAAUGACGGUACCUAAGGAGGAAGCCACGGCUAACUACGUGCCAGCAGCCGCGGUAAUACGUAGGUGGCAAGCGUUGUCCGGAAUUACUGGGUGUAAAGGGAGCGUAGGCGGGGAGACAAGUUGAAUGUUUAAACUAUCGGCUCA
rnacentral:rRNA from 1 species